CCCUUCUCCUUGCCCAUCUUCAUCCCUUCUCAUUGUUGCCGGAGGAUCGAGGUUUUUUCCCCGCGGAUGCUCCUCGAAACCCUAAACCUUCUUGCAGGUUAGUGAAGAAGUGGAGCUUGCUUUAGCGAAGUUGGGGCCUGCCAAGCUUGGUACCAUGUGUGACUUGUGGGAACUAUCAACUUAAUUGAUAAGACUCUGAAGUUCUGAUCUGGAAAUUAUUUUGCAGCCCGAUUCUUGCAUUUUGUUAGAAAAAGAUCAGGAGUAGAAUUAGAGGGGUGGACAGCUUAGCGAGGUCGUUGAGCAAGUCGCCGUCUAGUUCUUUAUCAAGUUAAUAAACUUCCUUGUUGUGGAUUUAAAACUUCUUGUCUUAUGUUUAAAUGUCA